rnacentral:rRNA from 1 species
GACGAACGCUGGCGGCGUGCCUAAUACAUGCAAGUCGAACGCAGUGGGGACGGGUGAGUAACACGUGGGUAACCUCCCAUCAGAGGGGAUAACACUUGGAAACAGGUGCUAAACCGAUACUGAUGGAUGGACCCGCGGUGCAUUAGCUAGUUGGUGAGGUACCGGCUCACCAAGGCCACGAUGCAUAGCCGACCUGAGAGGGGGUUCGGUCACACUGGGACUGAGAGACGGCCCAGAGUCCUACGGGAGGCAGCAGUAGGGAAUCGGCGGCGAUGGACGAAAGUCUGACCGAGCAACGCCGCGUGAGUGAAGAAGGUUUUCGGAUCGUAAAACGCUGUUGUUAUAGAAGCGGUAUCUAACCAGAAAGCCACGGCUAAUUACGUGCCAGCAGCCGCGGUAUAC